CAGCCGCCGCGGUAAAACGUAGGUGGCAAGCGUUGUCCGGAAUUAUUGGGAGUAAAGGGCUCGCAGGCGGUUUCUUAAGUCUGAUGUGAAAGCCCCCGGCUCAACCGGGGAGGGUCAUUGGAAACUGGGAAACUUGAGUGCAGAAGAGGAGAGUGGAAUUCCACGUGUAGCGGUGAAAUGCGUAGAGAUGUGGAGGAACACCAGUGGCGAAGGCGACUCUCUGGUCUGUAACUGACGCUGAGGAGCGAAAGCGUGGGGAGCGAACAGGAUUAGAUACCCCCGUAGUCCCUGUCUCUUAUAC
rnacentral:rRNA from 1 species